rnacentral:lncRNA from 1 species
GUGUCAGUGAUGAUCUACCCAGAGAUCGGGCUGUCAGAUCAGUAUGGCGUCCCCUGGUGGAUCAUCCUCAUCGCUGUCCUGGCUGGAGUGCUUGUGCUGGCGCUGCUCGUGUGUUUACUGUGGAAGUGUGGUUUCUUCAAGCGUGCGGAGCGGCAGCCGCAGUAUGAAACGGAGUAUCACUGCGCUCACCUGCAGCAGCAGCCGUCAGACGCCGAGCGGAAACACACCGAGCUGCAGUGAGGGCUCGUCACAGCACCUGCAGACGCUCACGUGUGGUUUCUUCAGAAGGGUUCGGCAUGAAGAUCAGGUUCCUCAGUAUCAGGCGGUGAAGAUCAUGCGGCGGGACGCUCCACUGCUGGACGACACACUCAUUCUGCACAAACGGCAGUGGGCGACACACUGGAGCCAGGGGUCCAUCUGAGACUGCAGACACACACACACACACACACACACACACACACACUCAUUGAAGAGGAACACACACUCAUGUGGAGAGUUGACCAGCUUUCCCUCAGGAUCUGCAGGCUGACAGGAGACGUCUGGAGUAGCGCUGCAUCUGGCUGCAGGCUGAUCCUCGGUCAGUGGAUAUUAACAGAUGCAGGGUCGUCAGGGCUGAGGGAUCACGCGUCUGCAGGAGCUUCCAGCAUCAGCUGAACACAGAAGAGGAUAUUCUGCAGAUGAACACUGGAGGUCUGCGGGUCUCCAGCAUCUCCAGAAUAUCUGCUGUAGUGUUGAUCAGAUCAAUGAAGCUGUGGAGAUUAAAUUGAUGAUGACAGAAUAAUAUCUGGGUGAAUUAACCCUUUCAGACGGUUAUUGAUGUGUAGAGGUGUGUGUGUGUGUGUGUGUGUGUGUGAACUCAUGAAGCCGCUGCAGUUCUUCUGUUCUUCAGGCUUUUGGACAUUGAGCUUUACUCGUCUGCUCUUCAUGCUCUCCUCACGGCUUCAUUGCCCUUUCGCACUGAGUUAUAUGAACAUUAGAGUGUGUUACAGUAUCCGUGAGCUGUUCCUCAGUGUUUUGCACAGGCGUCUGCCGCUCUGCUCUGAUCAUGUGCCGCUGUCUGCUUUAUUUAUUGCUGAUGUUGAUCUGAGUAUGUUGUCCUGUUCCUCCAUUGAUCGGUCCAGUUCAGCAGAUCCUCAGGACAGUAUAGUGUUGCUCAGAUGAUGAGGAGUGUGUGUUCUGUGUGCUUCUGUCAUGUGUCUUUGUACACUGAAAUCAACAAGUAAAAUGUUCAACUCUAGUUCAGUCGAUCGCCUGCUUUACAGUCUUUACCUGUUCCCUGAACAUGAAUUUGUGAAGGUGAUGAUGAUGAUGAUUGUUAUGAUUAUUAUUAUGUGUUGAGGAAGAAGUUCCUGCAUCUGUUCUCCUUCACUACAGCUUUGGCUGUUUACUCUCUGCUGUCCUUCCAGAUCUGUCAGUUCCUGUUUUGUCCGCUAGAUGUCGCCGUCUCAGUUCAGUUCAGUUCAGUCAGAGGUGAACACACACACACACACACACGAAGAAAACAUCUGUGUUUUUCUGAAAGCUGCAGGACUGAUUGGAAGCAGGUGAGCUGAUCACAGCAGCUCCUGGAGAAUGUGUGUGUGUCUUUCCCAAACUCCUGCCAGAGAGAAGCUGAUCCAGAACUGAUGAACUCUCUCUCUGUCUCUCUCUCUCUCUCUGUCUCUCUCCCUCUCUCUGUCUCUCUCUCUCUCUCUCUCUCUCUCUCUCUCUCUCUCUCUCUCUCUCUCUCUCUCAUUAUAGCUGCAUUGUCGUUAUAUCACAGCGCACUGAUUGAUUAUACUGAUAUAUGGACAUAUUGAGCUAAGCAGACAGUAAAUCUAGAGCAAUGAUAUAAUCGAUUAUUAAACAAUAUAAUAUAGAAUGUAUAUGAAAUAUUGAACUGGUUUGAGAUAACAGUAAUUAUUGUAGUGUAAGUGUUCCCACACUGAUCCUCAUCUCUACAGGUUUCCUCUGGAUUCAGUGGUGACCGUGUGGUGAGUGGAGUAAAC